GACGAACGCUGGCGGCGUGCCUAACACAUGCAAGUCGAACGGAAAGGCCCUGCUUUUGUUGGGUGCUCGAGAGGCGAGCGCGUGAGAAACACGCGAGUAACCUGUCCCUGAAUGUGGGAUAUCUUCACGAAACAGGGGCUCAUAUCGGAUAGUAGCUCCUGCUGCAUGUUGUUGGUUGGAAAGUUUCGGAGGUGGUGGAUCGACUCGCGGGUUACCAGCUUGUUGGGGGGGUAGUUGCUUACCAAGGCUUUGAUGGGUAGCCGGCCUGAGAGGGUGACCGGCCACAUUGCGACUGAGAUACGGCGCAGAGUCCUACGGGAGGCAGCAGGGGGGAAUCUUGCACAAUGGCGCCAAGCCGGAUGCAGCAACGCCGCGUGCGGGAUGCUGGCCUUCGGGUGGAAAACCGCUUUCGAAUGAGCUAAAGAGUGAGUGACGGUAAUGGGUAAAGAAGCACCGGCUAACUACGUG
rnacentral:rRNA from 1 species